AGAGUUUGAUCCUGGCUCAGAUUGAACGCUGGCGGCAGGCCUAACACAUGCAAGUCGAACGGUAGCGGGAAGAAGCUUGCUUCUUUGCCGACGAGUGGCGGACGGGUGAGUAAUGUCUGGGAAACUGCCCGAUGGAGGGGGAUAACUACUGGAAACGGUAGCUAAUACCGCAUAACGUCUACGGACCAAAGUGGGGGACCUUCGGGCCUCACACCAUCGGAUGUGCCCAGAUGGGAUUAGCUGGUAGGUGGGGUAACGGCUCACCUAGGCGACGAUCCCUAGCUGGUCUGAGAGGAUGACCAGCCACACUGGAACUGAGACACGGUCCAGACUCCUACGGGAGGCAGCAGUGGGGAAUAUUGCACAAUGGGCGCAAGCCUGAUGCAGCCAUGCCGCGUGUAUGAAGAAGGCCUUCGGGUUGUAAAGUACUUUCAGCGGGGAGGAAGGCGAUGGGGUUAAUAACCCUGUCGAUUGACGUUACCCGCAGAAGAAGCACCGGCUAACUCCGUGCCAGCAGCCGCGGUAAUACGGAGGGUGCAAGCGUUAAUCGGAAUUACUGGGCGUAAAGCGCACGCAGGCGGUCUGUCAAGUCGGAUGUGAAAUCCCCGGGCUCAACCCGGGAACUGCAUUCGAAACUGGCAGGCUAGAGUCUUGUAGAGGGGGGUAGAUUCCAGGUGUAGCGGUGAAAUGCGUAGAGAUCUGGAGGAAUACCGGUGGCGAAGGCGGCCCCCUGGACGAAGACUGACGCUCAGGUGCGAAAGCGUGGGGAGCAAACAGGAUUAGAUACCCUGGUAGUCCACGCCGUAAACGAUGUCGACUUGGAGGCUGUUCCCCUGAGGAGUGGCUUCCGGAGCUAAGCGUUAAGUCGACCGCCUGGGGAGUACGGCCGCAAGGUUAAAACUCAAAUGAAUUGACGGGGGCCCGCACAAGCGGUGGAGCAUGUGGUUUAAUUCGAUGCAACGCGAAGAACCUUACCUGGCCUUGACAUCCACGGAAUUCUGCAGAGAUGCGGAAGUGCCUUCGGGAACCGUGAGACAGGUGCUGCAUGGCUGUCGUCAGCUCGUGUUGUGAAAUGUUGGGUUAAGUCCCGCAACGAGCGCAACCCUUAUCCUUUGUUGCCAGCGAUUCGGUCGGGAACUCAAAGGAGACUGCCGGUGAUAAACCGGAGGAAGGUGGGGAUGACGUCAAGUCAUCAUGGCCCUUACGGCCAGGGCUACACACGUGCUACAAUGGCGCAUACAAAGAGAAGCGACCUCGCGAGAGCAAGCGGACCUCAUAAAGUGCGUCGUAGUCCGGAUCGGAGUCUGCAACUCGACUCCGUGAAGUCGGAAUCGCUAGUAAUCGUAGAUCAGAAUGCUACGGUGAAUACGUUCCCGGGCCUUGUACACACCGCCCGUCACACCAUGGGAGUGGGUUGCAAAAGAAGUAGGUAGCUUAACCUUCGGGAGGGCGCUUACCACUUUGUGAUUCAUGACUGGGGUGAAGUCGUAACAAGGUANCCGUA
rnacentral:rRNA from 1 species